AUUGAACGCUGGCGGCAGGCCUAACACAUGCAAGUCGAACGGUAACAGGAAGCAGCUUGCUGCUUUGCUGACGAGUGGCGGACGGGUGAGUAAUGUCUGGGAAACUGCCUGAUGGAGGGGGAUAACUACUGGAAACGGUAGCUAAUACCGCAUAACGUCGCAAGACCAAAGAGGGGGACCUUCGGGCCUCUUGCCAUCGGAUGUGCCCAGAUGGGAUUAGCUAGUAGGUGGGGUAACGGCUCACCUAGGCGACGAUCCCUAGCUGGUCUGAGAGGAUGACCAGCCACACUGGAACUGAGACACGGUCCAGACUCCUACGGGAGGCAGCAGUGGGGAAUAUUGCACAGUGGGCGCAAGCCUGAUGCAGCCAUGCCGCGUGUAUGAAGAAGGCCUUCGGGUUGUAAAGUACUUUCAGCGGGGAGGAAGGGAGUAAAGUUAAUACCUUUGCUCAUUGACGUUACCCGCAGAAGAAGCACCGGCUAACUCCGU
rnacentral:rRNA from 1 species